GGAGAAACAACAGAAAUUCUAUUUGACGAUGCCAAAAUAAAUCCCAAUUCUUUAUAAGCCGAUAACAUUUUUAAAUGAUAAUUAAUUGAAAUUAUGUGUUUCUGUGAUUUACUUUAAACUAUUAGAAGUCUGUGAGUAAAGUAUUUUAGUAUCUUUCUCAUUCUUACCAAAGACAGGUAUAAGUGGUGACAGUUUCAGCCCUGUAUCUAGAAGGUGGCCUAAGCAGCAGAUACUCACCCUUGCCUAAGUCUAGAGGCUGAAAUCUAAUAUUGAGGUACAUACAGAGGUUCCUAUAAGUUCCCUGAGGCCUCUCUCCUUGCUCAUAGAUGACAUUGUCCCCAUGUCCUCUAAUGGCAAUCACUUUAUAAGAGUCCUAAUCCCUUCUUUUAAGAGCUCACCCCAUUUUACCAUAAUGCCCUCUAGAAGACCUUCUCUACAAAAUACAGCUACACUCUGAGAUGCUUUCCCGUCAGAGAUUCACAAGCAGGUUUUGGAGGAACAUAAUUCAGUCAUCAUACUGGCCACGGUCACUGGUAACCUAGUACUGUCUUUUAUCUACUACUUCAUAGCCAUGAAUCGGUAACAGUAAGAGAAAAGCUGUAUCACAAUGCCACCAGGUGAGGUGUGGCUCCUAGUGACAUUGUAUUGCUGUAAAGAGUACCUUCCAUGAGCAGGGACAGGUAGGACUACGUGAAUAGGUCCCUCCUUGGUCAACCUUUAGUGGAGACAUGUGACAGUAUCCCUGCCUCUCGCACCUGAAGCAGUCAGCUUGCCCUGGUAGAGACAUAAAGGCUCUACAAAUUGUGUUGAGAUUUUACUUUUUGGAGCAACGGUUGUCUGUUCCUUUCAGUUUAUUGGAGGCCUUUUCAUUUGGGUGUUGCAGGUAGAGUAAUGAAUUUACUUGAAAAAUGUCAGCAGUGCUUAUGAGGCCACGUUCUGCAGCAACAUUAUUAAGCUGCUAAUUUCCAGAUCUUCCCUAAGUGAAUGCAAACAAAUUCUGGUCCUCAAAGCCCUGCUAAUAUACAAUGUUCAAUUUUUAAUUUCCAGUCCAUCUUAGAUUAUGGGAGUGAAAAACAAUAUUUAAUCCCUCGUUAACACAUGAAUGAGCGGAAGCUGUCACUUUCAACCAGACAAUACCAGGGGUUAUCUCAAGAACUGUCAGUUUAUGUGAAAACAUUAUGUUGCCCAAAUUUUCAUAAAAAUUAGUAAUGGAUAAUAUUCAAGAUCAGAGCAAUAGAAAGAGAAAAAUCUGCAUUCAUGGUAAUAAAUAUUCAUAUUUGUCUGCUUGAGAGAUGAAAAUCUAAUCAAGGGGCUAUUGAUGCACUGUUAUUUUUUUUUUCAACCAAGACGUUUCAUCUAAAUUGGGUUUGAUAUGGAAAUCAGUUUUAGUCAAAGUCCUCCAGCCUUAGCCCAUGGGCUGCCCAGGCGAUAUCCUGUAUGGAUCCAGCCCUGGUGCAUACACUGAACCACAAUUAGGGUGACAAUACCCUCUCUGCAUGCGAGCCCCCAGAGGUUCAUCUGAUGGAGUCUUUUGGAGCCUCCUCCCCACUGUAAAGG
rnacentral:lncRNA from 1 species